rnacentral:rRNA from 1 species
UACGUAGGGUGCAAGCGUUGUCCGGAAUUAUUGGGCGUAAAGAGCUCGUAGGCGGUUUGUUGCGUCGGCUGUGAAAUCCCGAGGCUCAACCUCGGGUCUGCAGUCGAUACGAGCAAACUAGAGUGUUGCAGGGGAGACUGGAAUUCCUGGUGUAGCGGUGAAAUGCGCAGAUAUCAGGAGGGAACACCGGUGGCGAAGGCGGGUCUCUGGGCGAACA